rnacentral:lncRNA from 1 species
CUGAAGUGCAAGCUGAAACCGGUUCGGGGGAUGCCCCCCCCUUCGGGGUCAGAAGUUUGCAGCAAGGAAGACUACGAGCCUUCACGAGGAAGACUACGAGCCUUCAUCAUCACGACCUACCACGCACGCGCAGGGGGGGGAGGGACUAUAUGCUAAUGGGCUCUCGGGAAUGUAGUGAAUAUGUAUCCGAAUUCCUGUCAACUAUUGAUUAUGUAUUAGUUUCACCUAUAUCUAUAGCACGAUUUCUUCAGACGGUGUGUAAGUUUGGUGGAGCGAUCCCCCUUGCACCAGGGUGUACGCGCGACACCAAUAAACACAUACCUGCUCUAUAUCCUUACUGGCUAUAGGGUCUGAUUUCCGCACGUCAGUUUUGGCACCCCAGAUGGGACCCUCUCUGUUCAGCUGCAGGACUGGCUGAGAGGGGGGACGCCUUUGGCGCGUCCUGAGAUUUCUCGGAAGGACUCCCUUUCCUCACCCAAUCACUGCGAGAGCAGACAAGGACCAUCGAUCGGCGGACCAGACGUAUUAGAGAGAUGUAGACAUCGUGGCAGUCUCGCUCCUGAGGGAUGACCAGUUGGAUGACCUGGAAGUUCUUGCAGCGGAUCAGCAGUGGGCAACCUGUGGCAGUUGUGGCCUGUUUCUCAAUGGAGGAUAUUUGGCUGUGGAGAACCUGCACGGGAAUUGAAAAUGAUUCAAGUCUUCAAAAAGAAAAACAGUUGCUUGUAAAGAUCUGCCAGGACACAGCAGCUUCCACUGCUGUUUCAGAAAAUCCUCACACACGUCUUCUUGCAUUUUUGUUCCAAUCUCCAGCAUCAGGCUCCAGAAGUGCCAGGUACAUGACCUACAGACAAAGAAGCACUUCUGGAAACUUUCAGCUGCUCAGACAUUAGCCUAGUCAUGCUGUCCAAAGCCUUCUGUUUGAUUGUUUGUUUGUUUGUUUUUAAAUGUAUGCUAACAGUCAUCAGAAAAAGAGCUCUUUUGUCUACCUGUAUAGUGAAAAGAUGAACCAGCAUCAGUUAUAUAAAACUAACUGAAGUCUCUUGGCUAAAAUGUUGGUCCUGCUAACUGACAGAAUGGAAGCACAGGGAGAGAGAGACAAGAGCUGACUGAGCCCAAGCAGUAAUUCACUCUCUAAACAGCUGAACUUGACAGCAGUGGUUCCUUGGAUAAUCACAGCCAGUAUUUAUACAGUGAAUACCCUUGCAGUACCCUGUGUUACCCUGUGUUGCAAUAGCCAGAACCCACAGAAAUUUUUUAAAAAAAUUAUCAAGCUGCAAAGGUUUUCAAUUGGAAUUUGACACACUACCCAGUGAUAGAACCAUCUGUAUAAACUCAUUUACUGUAUUUAAUGUACCUUGCAAGUUAUUUUCAAAUUACCAUCAGUAAAUUGCCAUGCCUUUACAGCUAACCGAAAAAAUUAAAAUCAUACCCAGGUUUCUUUACGAGUUUCAGAACCAUUUUCCACAAAUAUGACAUGAGUAGCUGUUAAGUACAGGGUUCCCACUGCAGCUUUUCUUGAAGACAAGCGAUCAAGUAACCGUACAUUUUCCACCUAAAUAAAGAGAGGACAGAUGAAAAAAAAAGAAAAAAAAUAGGCUAUGGCAUAGUAUAUUGUAGUGGCACAUCAACAUUCAUAUUUUGUCCAUUACAAACACUGUGUUGUCAUGCUAAGAUAGAUGUUUACCACCUAAACAGUACACAAAUAUAUGGGAGAUUGAUCUACUUUCACAAGCAAUAGAACUUAGGAUUCACGGGACAGUUCAGGUUGGAACUCAGGAGGUCUUGAGUCCAGUUUCCUGGUCCAAGUGUGUCUGGUCUCUGAGGUUAGAUCAGGUUGCCCAGGGCUUUACCCAGUUAGGUCUUGAAAAUCUUCAAGGAUGGAGCCUGUCCAACCUGUCUGGGUGACCUACUUCAUUGCCAAACUGUUCUUACAGUGAAAUUAAUAGAGAAGUAUGCCACAAGAUAGAGUAGUGCCAGAAGAACCACUGAAUCCACUUAGUAAGGGCCACUAAGAUGAUCAGAGGGCUGGAGCACCUCUCCUAUGAGAAAAGGUUGAGGGAACUGGGCUUGUUUAGCUUGGAGAAGGGAAGGCUCUGGGGAGACCUCAUUGUGGCCUUCCAGUACUUGAAGGGAGCAUAUCAACAGGAGGGGGAACAGCUGUUUACCAGAGUGGAUAGUGAUAGGACAAGGGGGAAUGGUUUUAGACUGAGACGGGGAGGUUUAGAUUGGAUAUUAGGAGGAAGUUUUUCACCCAGAGGGUGGUGACGCACUGGAACAGGUUGCCCAAGGAGGUUGUGGAUGCCGCAUUCCUGGAGGCCAGGCUGGAUGUGGCUCUGGGCAGCCUGGUUGUGGUUGUGUUGGUGUGGUUGGUGAGCCUGCACAUAGCAGGGGGGUUGAAACUAGAUGAUCAUUGUGGUCCUUUUCAACCCAGGCCAUUCUAUGAUUCUAUGAUUCUUUAGUGCUAUGUGUAGUAGUUAUAUUUUUAGCACUGGGGUCAUGCCUACAAGCUUUUCUGAGGAAAUUAUUUUUACAUCUCUUCUUUAAAAAUGGCAAAGCUUGUUCAGACACAUACCCUCCCCUUGAGCCCAUCCUUCUUGAUCCUUCCCACUAAUAUCAGCUGGAGGGUCAAAAAUAAAUCAAACACAGGAGUAUCUCAAAAUCAACAGUCAAGCUUGAACCAAAUAAUGUUGGAAGCUGCCUCACUGUUGAAAAAAAAAAUAAACAAACAUACUAUCUCACACAUAAUAUGAGAAAGUAUAGCUAAAAGCAUCUGAAUCAGAAAUGGUGUGUAUGUGAGAGAACGAAAAGAUGCUUUUCCCAUAAGAUCUUCCCAGGGCCAUAUGAAAGGACUAUCAGAAAAGUAUUUAUGUAUGAGAAAAUUUGAUUAUAUUAAAUGAUUUAACUCCAGAUCUAACUUAACAUUCAUUUUUCUUCCUCUUGUGGUACCUCUCUAUCCAAACAGAUGUUAGUAAAAGAGUUCAAAGAACUUCCCACUUUGUAAACCUUACCACAGCCCUAUAAUAGCAUGGUAGAACCUGGCAUCCAGUCAAGCCUUUCCAUAAUCAUCAGUGACACAAAGAAAGCUUAAUUUAAAAAAAUAAUAAUAGAUUGAAGAAGAAGAGGGAAAAGUAGGAGGUGGAAGUGGUUGAGUGUAUUUCUUCAAUGGGCCUCACUUAGGCUUGCAGACAAGUAUCCAGUGAGAGUUCAUAAAAUGUUUCAGAGUUUGUCCCUGUGGGCCUACUAGUGCUGACAGCAAUGGACACAACUGGAAAUGUUUGUCUUCAAUCACUUUCCAACUGGAAUCAAAGACUUAACACCCACAGUUUUGCCUCCUUGGACAAAAAUGGAUGUUCUCCCUUUGCAGCACUGCUGACAACAGGUACCUAUGGCUUUUACACUGUUAAUAUAUGGUACAUGCCACUUUUUAUAGGCAUUUGAUCUGAAGCAACCUAGUGUUCCUGACUGAUAAGCUAGAAAGAUAGAUAAACAAGGUAGACAACGAAUGGAUUAAGAACUGUCUGAAACAAUCAAUAAUUUGUUAACAGCAGCCUUAGUAGGUUUCCUACUGCAACCAUUUUAAAACCAAAAUUAGCAGCUUUUACUAAAAAAAAAAACAUGCCCUAGUUCAAACACAUUAAACCAAAGAAUGCUGAUCAUCAAGAUCAUACAAUGUGCAGUAAAUUACCAAAAUGGUUUUAUAAUGCUGAAAUCACACUGGAACACGUGAUUUUCACCCACUGCUGCAAGAGAGCUUCAAUACACUGCUCAUCUCUUCUAUAUCCUCUCUUUGACUCUCCACUCAAGACUUGCAAGUUCUUAUAUAUAGCCAGUUAUUUUCAGGACCUGGAGCCAAUAACUGCUGAAAAGAUAUGACUCCAUUAAAAUCAGAAGGGUUCUAUUCUUGUGUUUGAAGUACAAAAGCUGACUGUGAGUGCUGUUCCAAGAAAAUGGAGGAGGGCAAAAGAAAGUUAAAGACCACUCUUGGAUUGAAAUAAAGGCAACUUUGCAUCAAUUUUCUUUAAAACAGAGUGGGGUGCAACAAAAACAGAAAGAAGAAAGAGAUCUGCAAAGUCACUUUCAUUUUUAAUAACACAGACUCCAGAUUACGUUCACAGAAGCUUCCCACAAGACUCAGAAAUGGGAUGUAGUACUUCACGACAAUUUUUCUCUCUGGUUUUAAGUAAUUCCACCAAAAUCACACAGUGAGCAGAGAGAUGCCAUCACCUAAGAACUGAACAUUUGCAACAUAUUAUCUAAACACAUUGCGUUAUUUUAAAAAUAGGAACACUGUGGUUCUUAAAACAAACAAAUGAAAAAAAACAGUUUGGUAGCAAAAUGCUUAAAAAUUAAACAAUUAGCAAAACCAAGUUUCCCUCAAGGCCAGCUAUAAUCUGCUUUAAACAAAAAUAAAACAGAUAGAAAGCAUGAAUAAAGUCUUUUCCCAGGACCAUCCACUUCAGAGGUCACGUAUUGGGAUAAGGAAGAAUAGAAGGAACACAGCAUUAACCCAAAACAUUCAGUAAUAAGACAAAAGGAAGAUAUAAAAAAGCACGCAUCAUAGAAACCAAAGAUUUAGGCAGUGCCCCAAGUCUAAGAGGAACCCUCCAAUAACAGUAAAAAAUAAGAUUCACCUGGACAAAAUCAUGUCCCUGCUGUAAGUCCAGCCAAGGAGGGCACUGCUCUACAGGACCUGGUCUUGCACAAGGAAGUGGUCACCCCAGAUACCACCUACAAACUGAGGUACUUCAGGUUGUGACAUAAGAAAAGCAGACACUCACAAAGCAGGGCAGAAGCUUGGGGCUGAAUUUUCAGGUAUCCAAAUUAUAUCUUCUCCCUCCUCAUCAAUCAGAGUUGCAUAACUGAUUUUUCAAAUCCAGAUGAGGGGGAAUUCCUUCACCUUUUCCAGGAGGCCAGCCUGCUGAUAAAGACUGAGACUGACUCUCUCCUCCAGUUUUAUCUAUGGUUUGUUUGAUUUAUUAUUCUUAAUUAUUCUGUAUUAUCUCACAUUGCUUUUAAUAAAUCAGUUUUCUCCUAUCUCAGUCAGGUUUCUUCCUCUUCCUUCCCCUUCUCCUGAGGGGAGAGAAGGGUCUUGUGUG